rnacentral:RNase_MRP_RNA from 13 species
AGUGGCGAGCUGAAAGUCUGUUGCCUAGGCUACGAGCUGGGGACUGGUUCCCACCUGAGCGCCUAGGGGAAAGUCCCCGGACCCCGGGCAGAGAGUGCCGCGCGCGCAGGCGCGUUGGGCCGCCUCGUUCGCUCUCUUAGGCCGCCGAGACGCCUCUGGUUGAGCGGUGAGCGUGGGGCGGCCUACUCAGUCAAGUUUGCAUAGUUAUACAGGCAGUGCGCACAGGUGCACCAACUCAACGGGGCUCAAUCUCAGCAAGCCAG